AAGUCGUAACAAGGUCUCCGUUGGUGAACCAGCGGAGGGAUCAUUACCGAGUUUACAACUCCCAAACCCCUGUGAACAUACCACUUGUUGCCUCGGCGGAUCAGCCCGCUCCCGGUAAAACGGGACGGCCCGCCAGAGGACCCCUAAACUCUGUUUCUAUAUGUAACUUCUGAGUAAAACCAUAAAUAAAUCAAAACUUUCAACAACGGAUCUCUUGGUUCUGGCAUCGAUGAAGAACGCAGCAAAAUGCGAUAAGUAAUGUGAAUUGCAGAAUUCAGUGAAUCAUCGAAUCUUUGAACGCACAUUGCGCCCGCCAGUAUUCUGGCGGGCAUGCCUGUUCGAGCGUCAUUUCAACCCUCAAGCACAGCUUGGUGUUGGGACUCGCGUUAAUUCGCGUUCCCCAAAUUGAUUGGCGGUCACGUCGAGCUUCCAUAGCGUAGUAGUAAAACCCUCGUUACUGGUAAUCGUCGCGGCCACGCCGUUAAACCCCAACUUCUGAAUGUUGACCUCGGAUCAGGU
rnacentral:rRNA from 1 species